rnacentral:lncRNA from 1 species
UGUGCUCUACCAGUAGCCGGCAACGCAGAAGUCCAAGCAGGGACGGGACGGCUGCAUUUCCCCACCCUCCUGGCCAGCCCGGCUUCAAGGCCCACCCCCCUCCCCUCGAGCCGCACAAACACUCUGGCCAAGGACACCUCCCUGAUCACCGUCACCCCAGGAGAGUGAGUCUGGAACCCCACCCGGAGGCGCGUAUCACAGUUGUGAUCGAACCCGUGUGUUUCGAGUGUACUUGAACUAGGUCCGUUUUCCCUACUGACCUGAAGCGGCCCUGAGUGACUCUGCCCUAAGAAAAGGGCCGGGGUGCGCUCGC